CCAACGUAUCUAAAAUACUGCUUUUCAACAUGGAAUCGUAUGUAAAUUAUUAGUAUGUUUUCACACAUUCUUCUCUUUACACUGGGCCUUUGCAUUCAGAGUACCACUCCAGGAGCCCAGCUGAUAUAUGGCUGCCUCCUGGGAAGGAGCCUGGGCACACAAGAGCCCCGUGCCCACUGGAGCCCGUGGUGGAGAUCGGGCUCCUUCUGCCGUGUCAGGGCGGCAGGCUCCAAGGAGGCUCUCAUGUGUGCAGAUGCACUGUCUCUUCAGUUGUGUCUGACUCUCUGCAACCCUGUGGACUGUAGCCUGCCAGGAUCCUCUGUCCAUAGGAUUCCCCAGGCAAACAUACUAGAGUAGAUUGCCAUGCUCACUUCUAGGGUAUCUUCCUGACCCAGGGAUGGAACCUGCAUCUCUUACAUCUCCUGCAUUGGCAGGCAAGUUCCUUACCACUAGUGCCACCUGGGAAGUCUGAGACUCUCCUGACUGCCCCCCAAAUACCACAUCAGGGUGCCGGAGAACGCUGAGAUGGGCAUCAGGAGCCCCCUCAAGGCCUGCCAUCCUCCACCUUGGGCCCGGCCUCUGUACCUCACCUGUGGGCUGGCCUGGGCCCCGAGCCUUGGAAACAUGCUCCAGGCAGGGAAGAUGAGUGACCACAGGCCUCAGUUUCCCUGUUUCCUUUCAGCCUGGCCUGAGAUCUGAUGCCCACUGGCAGGGACAGAGAUGCCCAGUGUCUUACUCUGUUCAGGCUAUUGUAACAAGAUACCACAGACGGUGGCUGUAGAGAGCAUAGUUUUCUCUCUUGGUCCUGGAGGCUGGCAGUCUGAGGUUGGGUGCCAGCAUGGUUGGGUUCUGGUGGGGCCCACAUCCAGGUCCUGUUCCUCAUGGGUAGGGCACAGCUGUGAGGGCGCUAAUUCUGCUAGUGCGGGCCUCACCCUCGAGACCCAGACACUUCCCAGGGCCCUACCUCCCUGACUGGGGUUAAGUUUCAACACAGGAAUUUGGGGGCCUCAAGCGUUCAGGCCACAGCAUCUGCGUGGCUCUCAGGCACCCUGCAGCCACGUUCCAGGUGCUUUCAUCACAGGCACCCUCUGGGGUAGGGGAGGAACAGACGCCCCUGUGGAUCCCCUUGCAGGCCUGGCUGCAGAUGGUGAUGGCCCAGCUUCCUCCUGGGAAGCAAGGUCUCCUAUCCUGGAGACCUGGGUCCCCCUGCAGGCCCGCACAGCACCGUCAAACACAUGCUCUGCAGGGAAGAUCCUCAUGCUGUCCAGGCUCCUUGCCAAGCCCGCCAGCCAGGCCAUGAGUCCAAAUGCUCAGACAGAGACGCUGCUGUCAGGGCUGGACUCUGACUCCCAAGAGGAAGUUCAAAAUGAAACAGUUUCACUAGUGAAAGAAAAGUUGCAGAGCCAAGCGCAGAUACCAGAAGUGGGAAAGCAGCGCUCUGAGUGCUUCCACCAGAUGGUGCGACUUGAAUGGAGGCAGCUUUUUACCUGGCACGAUGGAGCGGCCCCAGACUCGGGGACUGCUGGCAGAGCUGGGUCCUGGUCGAGGCAAGUGGGCCCCAUGUGGCUUGGAGACCCAGGGUGACCUGUCCCCUAGACGAGGGAGCCAGGGCCUCUCCCCUUGGUCCUCUGGAGCAGGCCCUGCCUUCUUAGGUGUGGACGGGUGGACACCUGGAGCCAGGAGAGUUUCUGUGUUCCCAAACUCUCUGGGGCAGCCGCUGCCAGGAAGUGGCUGCGUUUCCCAGGGGGAAGGAGGGCACACUAGUGGAGCCCUGCCCAGCUGGGCACUGGGUGGUCAAUUCUGCGUGCGUAGACCUCAGGAGGGCCCUGGCCUGCCUGCCCUCCCAGCCAGCUGGACCUCGAUUGUGCUCCUGCCUGAGGGUUUUUCCAUCCUGUGCUGAAGCCUCAGCGCUGCAGGCAGGCCAUUCCGCUCAAAACCACAAGUUGUGUGUGUGGAUCUGUGUGUUUGUAUGUGUGUAUGGCUCUCUGUGUCUAUGUGUGUGUGUUUUAUCUGUGUGUCUGUGUGUGUAUGUGUGUGUGGAUCUGUAUGUGUGUGUGUGUGUCUGUAUCUGUGUGUGUGUGGGUCUGUGUGUAUGGGUCUCUGUGUGUGGGGGUAUAUGUGGGUGACUGCAUGCGCACGUCUUGUGUUCUCUGCCCCAGAGCUGAGUCCAGGGCUCACCCAGAACGAGGUGCUUCCUGCUGGGGGGGAGGCCGAGGCUGAGGGGCUGCCCGGUGUGCUGGGCAGCGCUGGGCCCCUCUGGGGAGCCCCCCUAGAGUGCUGGUCUCAGGCCGACUCCUGCAGUCCUUUCUUCCUCUCAACUUUGCCCUCACUCCCCUUCCCCCACUCCUUCCUGGCAAGCAGAUGCAAUCCAAACUUGUUGUGAAUGUCUCCCCUGCAGUUGUCCACCGGCUCGUCCAAGUUAAAUAUUACUCACCGAGAUGCGAGCCCACUGGGCAGUGCUGGCCUGGAGGUGGACCGGUCUGGGGAAGGUGCUGGGCAGAGGCCAGUGCCAGGCCUGUGGCAUCUGUGGGUGCUGGGGGUGGGGCUGGGGUGGCAGCCAGGAGCCUGCCAGCCUUGGGCUCGCCCUUUGAAGGGGCUGUUUCCUUAACCCCUGCACUGUGCCCAGAGCAGGCAGGAGAGCGGGUAGUGGGUCCCUGGGCAGGGUGGGGCAUGGCGGGGCCACCCAGGGACCAAGAGGGGCUUGGACUGGGCUUGGCAAUGGCUUUCCUCCCGGUCGGUGGCUCCUGCCCUGUGCCAGGCUGGGGGCGGGACUGGGGACAAAGUGCUAGGAAGAACAGCCUGUCUCUUUCAAACCAACUUCUUUCCUGGCCCUCAGUUUUUCCCAGCAGCAAAGUAGAGGAACUGGGGUCUGGUGGCUGGACCCCUCCUCCUCUGGGGAAGAACCACCUGCUUCCCCUGGCAGCUUCUCCAUCCACCUACCAGUCAGUGACGGGCUGUGGCUCUGAGGUCCUUCCCGGCUGGCUUGGAGCAGGGUCCCCCAGACGGCCAUCCUCUGGGGCAGCAGAGCUGGGGGACUCACCAGGGCCAACCUCCCGCCAGCACCUGCCCCACUCUCCACGUGGACCCCAACGGGACCUGACCGCACCCAGCCUCAGGGCCUUUGCACCUACUGUGCCCUGCACUCACCUCUUACCCAUCACAGGGCACUGCUGGAAUGGACCUCCUGAGGAGCACUAUCUCCCUCGCUUGGUACCCCACCCACCUUCCCCGGCCCCAGUCUGUUCUUAAAAGCAUAUACCCCCGACUAAUACAGAACAUCUGGAAGUUUCAUUUUUCAUUGUCUCCCAUGAAAACAGAACCACUGGAGAACAGGAAUUCUUUCCUGCCUGUCUACAUGCGUAUCACAGUUUGGCCCUUGAUAAACCUGGUGGGGGAGACCGAUUCCAUAGUCAUGCCUAGUAUGGGGGUCUCACCCACAGUCACACAUCGCCUCUCAGGGCCAGAGCCCCCGGCCCACACUUGAAUCUCAGCCUAGGGUCCAAGAAUUCCGAACAGGGUCCCCUGUGAGAGGCCCGCAGGGUGUAAAGGAGACGCGGGGCUGUGGCUGUCCCAGAAGUCUGAGCCACCACAUAAAACCCUACAGGAGGGAGCUGUCUGGUGGCCUAAUGGUUAGGAUUCCUGGCUUCACUACCUGGAAACCCUGACCAAGGAACUGAGAUCCCUAAAGCCAUGCAGAGUAGCCAAUAAAAUAAAAUAAAAUAUUAAAACAAAAACAAAACCAAGGAAGAGAG
ensembl:lncRNA